rnacentral:rRNA from 1 species
AUGCCGACAAAGGCGCAAUGGAUCGCCCUGCUGAAAGAAAAGCAAGGCGGAUCCAUGAGCAGCGGCAGGAAGAAGGGGAAGGGUAAGCAGUGCUCGGUGACAAAGAACUUCACCGACUCGGACGACAAGGAUGCAUCUGCACCACCGAGGAGGAAGUUUGACAUCAGAAAAGUGAGGUGUAAUAAGUGUGGCCUCCUCGAUCACUUCAAGGCUAACUGCGCGGAAGCACCAAAACAACGGGCGCUCAUGGCCGAGGAAGGAGACGACGGGGAUAUGAUACUGAUGUGCGAGCUAGUGGAUGAGGAGGAUCCAGAUGAUCUUGGUCUGCUGGAGACAGGUCCGGUGAGUGCAUCCGUGUCGAUAGAACCAGACAGUUGUGGCGCCAGAAGACCAUGA